rnacentral:rRNA from 1 species
UACGUAGGGUGCAAGCGUUUAAUCGGAAUUACUGGGCGUAAAGCGUGCGCAGGCGGUUUUGUAAGUCUGAUGUGAAAUCCCCGGGCUCAACCUGGGAAUUGCAUUGGAGACUGCAAGGCUAGAAUCUGGCAGAGGGGGGGUAGAAUUCCAACGUGUAGCAGUGAAAUGCGUAGAUAUGUGGAGGAACACCGAUGGCGAAGGCAGCCCCC